UUUAUAUUCAUAAAAGAUGACGGCCCAAUGUUACAAAUGAUUAUACCGGUUUCAAGAUUUGCUGUUGUAUCGUUACGAUGGGUCUUUUUAUUUACCUGCGGAAAAGGAGCGAAGGUCGAAUGCGAUGCGGAGAUCCGAUUUUAAACUGCAAUGAUAGGGUUCCGCUCACCUUUCUUCCUUCCCGUGCCUCUCAUGAAGUCGCAGGCAAUCGAGGGUUUCUCGGCGAGUGGGGUAAAGGACGGGAUCUUGUACCUGAUUCAGCGCUGCUUCUCGCGAUCUCGAUGUAUUAGCUAUGGUUCUUUAGUGAGCACCACAAUGGGAGUAGCAACUUGGUAGAAUUCACAGAUGGACUGGACUAUAAGGGGGAUGAACAGCAGAGUGAGGACUAUCUUUUUAAAAUUGUUAUGAUCGGUGACUCUGCUGUUGGAAAAUCGAAUUUGCUAGCAAGAUUUGCCCAGAAUGAAUUCUACCCGAAUUCCAAGUCCACUAUAGGUGUUGAAUUUGAAAGAUGGAAAUUGAUGGGAAGAAAAUCAAAGCUCAGGAAUGGGAUACAGCGGGUCAGGAACGUUUCAAGGCCGUAACAUCUGCCUGCAUAUUAUGGGGGGGAGCUGUAGGAGCUCUUCUGGUGUAUGAUAUCAGCAGGCAUCAGACCUUUGACGGCAUCGGUCGGUGGCUGAACGAACUACAUGGUAAGCACCAAAUCUUCUAUUAUGUUUUUAACGAGUGUCAUUUAAAAAUACUGAACUAUAACUAUGUUGGCAUUCCAUCUUUUAGUCUUAAUUGUUGGGAGUUGCCACAUAAAUCAUGUCAUAGAUAUUUAGUGUUUGGUUCGGUUCUUACA